rnacentral:rRNA from 1 species
GACGAAACCCCUGGUGAGGGGGAUGACGGUACUGGGGUAAUAGCGCCGGCCAACUCCGUGCCAGCAGCCGCGGUAAUACGGAGGGCGCGAGCGUUACCCGGAUUUACUGGGCGUAAAGGGCGUGUAGGCGGUUUGGCGCGUCCAGCGUUAAAGACCGCGGCUCAACCGCGGGGGUUGGCUGGAUACGGUCAAGCUAGACGGCUGGAGGGGGUGGUGGAAUUCCCGGAGUAGCGGUGAAAUGCGCAGAUACCGGGAGGAACGCCGAUGGCGAAGGCAACCCCCCGGCCAGUUCGUGACGCUGAGGCGCGAAAGCGUGGGGAGCAAACCGGAUUAGAUACCCGGGUAGUCCACGCCCUAAACGAUGCGCACUAGGUCUCUGGGCUUACUGGGGGCCGAAGCUAACGCGUUAAGUGCGCCGCCUGGGGAGUACGGCCGCAAGGCUGAAACUCAAAAGAAUUGACGGGGGCCCGCACAAGCGGUGGAGCAUGUGGUUUAAUUUUAAGCAACGCGAAGAACCUUACCAGGCCUUGACAUGCUGGGGAACCUGCCUGAAAGGGCGGGGUGCCGCAAGGAGCCCCAGCACAGGUGCUGCAUGGUCGUCGUCAGCUCGUGCCGUGAGGUGUUGGGUUAAGUCCCGCAACGAGCGCAACCCCUGCCCCUAG